rnacentral:lncRNA from 1 species
AGGACCUGGAACAUAUUGAGGUAGUAUGUUGGUAUUUGGAAAAGAAAGCUUCAAAAAUAAUGAGAUAAGAUGGCCAUGAAAAUGUCCUGGGGUGGGGUCAUAGUUUGUGUGUGGUUUGUGUCAUGUAAUGUACAUGCUUUGUAAUCCUGUGUGGAAAAUGAGUUGUGUAAGGCAACUACUAUAAAUUAUAUAUGUACAUACACACGUAUAUAGACAUGUGCAGGUAUGUGUGUAUACAUACAUAUACAGAGUCUGCCAAAAAAGUAUACACACUUCAGGAAAAGAAAAAUAGUAUGUUUUUCAAGUACCCAAAUAUGGGGCACCAUAGAGGAUGUUGUAGAUUGCAGGAAAUCCACUACAUUUUCACCGCUAAUGGGCUCAACUUUGAGCACCUCUUGUAAUUGUAGUGGCCAAAGAUAACUUGCAUUAAUCUCAUUAUAUCUCAAUAAAUGCAGUAUUUACUUAUACAAGUUUUUCUUUUCCUGAAGUGUGUAUACAUUUUGGGGGCAGAAUCUGUAUAUGUAUGUAUACAUACAUAUAUUCUGGUAUACCUUUGCUGACUGUCUGGUACUGGCAAAAGCAGAUAGUGAUGUGUCUGUGUGUGUGUGUGUGUGUGUGUGUGUGUCUGAUACUGUGUGAGAUAGCACAUGUGAUUUCAUUGUGAAUAUUGGUAGAUGGUGUGACAGUAGCCUUACAUGUUGGAGGAAGUGUUUAUGACCUCAGCACAUGCAGCUCUGUGAAGGGCUGAAGGCGUGGUGGAAGAAGUGACUUUUGUGUGAGAACAUAUGCGUAUUAGAAGGGCACAAGAGUUUUCUAGUAUUUUGUCUACUAGUAGCAUUAUGAAAUUAAAACAGGUUAUCCAUGUGAGGUAAUAGAUUAUCUGUGUGAGGUGAUAUGAAGUUAUUUACAGGAUUAAGGUGUAAAAUGGUGGGUGAGUCUGAGAAUGACUUCUGGAAUGUGGGCAUAAGGCUGUACCUAUGUAACGCUGAUACUGGGAAAAUAGGGAGAGGAGAUAGUUAUGAGAAAGAUAAAAAGGUGAAAUGGUCUGUACUUAGUAGAAAGGAGUGUGACAUGUGAGUGUGAGCUGAGUUUAUACACUGAUCUGAGGGGGAAGACUCUGAUCAUCCCACCUCCUGCACAUCACAUAGGCCACUGCCUCACCCACAGUGGCCCCAGUGUUCACAUGAAAAUGUGUGCUGAGCAACUCUGUCCUCCUCUA